rnacentral:rRNA from 1 species
GAGUUUGAUCCUGGCUCACGACGAACGCUGGCGGCAUGCCUAACACAUGCAAGUCGAGCGAGCUGAUCCCUUCGGGGUGAAGCUAGCGGCGGACGGGUGAGUAACACGUGGGCAACCUGCCUCAUAGAGGGGAAUAGCCUCCCGAAAGGGAGAUUAAUACCGCAUAGGAUUGUAGCUUCGCAUGAAGUAGCAAUUAAAGGAGCAAUCCGCUAUGAGAUGGGCCCGCGGCGCAUUAGCUAGUUGGUGAGGUAACGGCUCACCAAGGCGACGAUGCGUAGCCAACCUGAGAGGGUGAUCGGCCACAUUGGGACUGAGACACGGCCCAGACUCCUACGGGAGGCAGCAGUGGGGAAUAUUGCACAAUGGGGGAAACCCUGAUGCAGCAACGCCGCGUGAGUGAUGACGGCCUUCGGGUUGUAAAGCUCUGUCUUCAGGGACGAUAAUGACGGUACCUGAGGAGGAAGCCACGGCUAACUACGUGCCAGCAGCCGCGGUAAUACGUAGGUGGCGAGCGUUGUCCGGAUUUACUGGGCGUAAAGGGAGCGUAGGCGGAUUUUUAAGUGAGAUGUGAAAUACUCGGGCUUAACCUGAGUGCUGCAUUUCAAACUGGAAGUCUAGAGUGCAGGAGAGGAGAAGGGAAUUCCUAGUGUAGCGGUGAAAUGCGUAGA